UACGUAGGCAGCGAGCGUUGUUCGGAGUUACUGGGCGUAAAGGGUGUGUAAGCGGUUUGGUAAGUCUGGUGUGAAAUCUCCCGGCUCAACUGGGAGGGUGCGCCGGAAACUGCCGGACUAGAGUGCGGGAGAGGAGAGUGGAAUUCCUGGUGUAGCGGUGAAAUGCGUAGAUAUCAGGAGGAACACCUGCGGUGUAGACGGCUUUCUGGACCAUUGCUGACGCUGAGACACGAAAGCGUGGGUAGCAAACAGG
rnacentral:rRNA from 1 species